UUAUCAAAAACAUGUCUUUUUGAAAUUAAUAUAAAGUCUAAUCUGCCCACUGAUUUAUAUUAAAGGGCUGCAGUAUUUUGACUGUACAAAGGUAGCAUAAUCAUUAGUCAUUUAAUUGAUGACUUGUAUGAAAGAUUGGAUGAAAUAUAUACUGUCUCUUAAUUAUUUAUAGAAUUUAAUUUUUUAAUUAAAAAGUUAAAAUGUAUUAAAAAGACGAGAAGACCCUAUAGAGUUUUAUAUUUAAAUUAAUUAAGAUUAUUUAUAAAUUUAUUAAUUAAAAUUGUUUUAAAUAUUUUGUUGGGGUGACAAAAAAAUAUAAAUAACUUUUUUUAAAAUUUAACAUAUAUAAGUGAUUAAAUGAUCCAAUAUUAUUGAUUAUAAGAAAAAAUUACCUUAGGGAUAACAGCGUAAUUUUUUUUUUUAGUUCAAAUAAAAAAAAGAGUUUGCGACCUCGAUGUUGGAUUAAGAUAAAAUUUAAAUGCAG
rnacentral:rRNA from 1 species